rnacentral:misc_RNA from 1 species
AAGUCGUAACAAGGUUUCCGUAGGUGAACCUGCGGAAGGAUCAUUACAUAUUGGUCAAAAGAAUAGUUUGAAAAAGGCUAUUUUUUUUUGACUUAAAAAACUUAUCCACAGUGUGGGAAAUGUCUUCUAACGCUUGUGCCUGGUUCAGUCUAGUGCUGCCACUUGAGUUUAUCCUUAGAUCAAGGGAUCUUUGGGUAGUUGUUCAUUAUUUUCUCUCUCUUUUUAGGGGGGGGGAGAUUAAUGAUGGGCACCUCUUGUAAAGGGGAUAAGAUUACUUUUAUUAUACUAAAUUUUACUGAACUGAUAGACCAUAAAUCUAUGGUUGUUUUUUAUUAUAAUUAAACAAAAAAACAACUUUCAGCAAUGGAUCUCUCGGCUUUC